GGCCGGUGACCGCCUCAGAGAGGCGCUGUAUGCAGUGCGCAAAGGUUGGGCUCCACGGUAACGCCACCCGGACCUGAAUUCCCGGCUCUUCCACGAACCUGUUUUGUGACUUCUCUGGGCCUCCGGUGCUUCAUCUGUGACAGGAAUAAACAGGACAAAGAUGGGGUCAGCCCUCGGAGCCCUUGGCACAGCACCUGGCACGCGGGAGCUCAGGUGUGAAUACUCUCACCCUCUCAGGGAGGUAAGCAGAGCAGAGGCAUCGGCGGGGCUCCACCGGCUGGGGCAGCGGGGUGUUGACUGGCCAGGAUGGACGGAUGGCUGAGGGUAGAGCCGCGGUGACGGCAUGACCCAACGCAGAGGCAGGUUUACAGUGACACCAGCCCCAAGAGUGGCAGGAAUACCCAGGGCUGCGGGACGUCAGGCCCGGGCUCCGUGGCAGCGAGCAGGCCGGGAACAUGCGGUUGCAGAGCAGGAGGAGCCACCUGCCCAGGGAGGGGGCAGCACGAGCAACAGGGGCUGGAUCUGAGACGCGCGGUUGGGGAGACAGGGUUGUGGGGCGGAGAGACCCCCCUGCUACGGGGACCCUAAAGGGCUCCCAGGGCCUGAGGAUGCGGGAGGAGGAAACUUACUGAUACCAGUCAUGUCAAUGAGACGUGAAAUUCUCAGCGCCAGCGGACGCUCGAGCGGAGUUAAGACGGCGUGGAUGCAGGAGCCGAUCCCAUCUCGGGGGAGAGAGGCUGCGGCUCCAGUGAGGGGGCAACCCAGGAUGUGGGGGUUGGUGGGACGGGGACCAGAGCGGCAGGGAAAUCACAGAUGGGCAAAACUUACAAAUGCGUACGUGGUUUUCGUAAUUAAACAGCCACCCACGAAGAGACCUGAGAAGGGGUUUGUGGCUCACGGGCGUCUUUGGAAGCAAGGUGCUCAAGCCGCCCAGGGUGGCGGUGCUCCGACGCCGGGUCACAGGCAGCGUGGGGGGCUCGGGGACCCCAAGACGUCUGGUGGGGACCAGAGGCCGACAUCCGCCACGGGCACACGUCGGUGGCCAGGCCGAGUCACCGGUCACACCGUUUGCGUCCGGUUUCCCUUCUAAGGAGCCGGCUGUCUUCUUGAUUUCUCCGUCUCUGAAACAGGGGGAACUGUGCUGACCGGCCCUGCACCGGCUACAGGGCCGGAAGGAGAGGGCCGCUGAGUGGACGUGAAGCCUCGUGCACGGGAGAUGAGGGGAUCUUAGCAGGAAAGCGUGCGCCCCCUCCAGCCCAUCGUUUCACGGCAGACCGUGCGGCGACCACAGGAGGGGCUGGGCCUUGACACUCUGCCGGCACGGUGCCUCGGCCAGCGGAGGGGCAGUGGCUCGGGACACAGCCAGGCAGUGGGGGCGGGGGUUGGGACACAGCGACGCUGGCCGAGCUCCUGUGAGGCGAUGCCCAGGCGUCCUGGCCAUGCGCACAGCAUAGGCCUGGAACCAGACAUGACAGGCUUGGUCUUGACUCUGCCGUUAAACUGGCUGUUUCUCAGUCAAUGUCCUUGACGCCUCAGAGCAUCACCAUGGCACAAGGUGGCAAAACCAACCCCAGCCUACUCGGGGCGGCAGCGAGGAUGGCCCUGGUUGACCUUCGCCCUCCCUCAGGUGAUGGGCAGCAGCGUGGCCCUGCCCAGGCCGCAGUUGUAGGACCUGGCCUGGGUUAAGCCUGUGCUCCUGCUCUGCUGUGCCAGUGGCCCCAAGUUGAAGCAUGGGAAGGCCAGGGCCCCAAGGCCUGGGGGUCCCCGCCCUCUGUUUUGUUGGGCCCACCACGCUCUGGGCAACUUUGGGCUCUUCCUUAAGCGAGGUUAGUAACAGCAGAGAGAGGGCGCAGAGCAGAGGGCAGGAGGUGGGAACACACAGCCAACGAGGGCUGGGUGGCACAUGGUCAGCACACCUGAGUCCCUGUGGGCAGCGGUACAUUGUAACAAGGCUGGCAGUCACAUGUUGCCUCUGACCACUGAGGUUUCAGUCGAGCCAGUUCUACAGUAAAAGGUGUGAUAAUGCCCCUUAGAUUCCCGCCCGGGGCGGUUCAAGUGAAGAUGCCUGGCAUCACGCGGACAUGUUUCGCUAUCUGGGCAACACCUGAUGAAAGCCGUUCUUGCAGAAACUGUAGGGUCACAGGUCACAUGUCCAUUGUCACUGGGCUGGGCACGUGUGAGGACCAUGGAUAGGGAGCGAUGCGAGUCCUGCCACGUUCCCUAAAAGAGGAGCAAGGCUUGUGCCUGCCAACCUGUGGACAAGCCCAGGCCCACCGUAGGCCCGGAGAACAGAGCAGCCCGCCCAGCAACCAGCUGUGAGCGCAGAGCCACCAGACAGGCGUGCGAUAGGAUGGUUGCCCCCUGGCAGCCCUGGAAUCACACCUCUGCUAGGACAGGGACCCAGAGGGGAAAGGCGACCCCCAGCUUCUGACCGUUUCUGGUAGGAUGAGGUUAUCUUUCAAAUCUGCUCCACAACCAGGAGCACAUGCUCCCGGGAGGCUGCUGGGAACAAAGCGGGACAGACGCCGCCUCCGGUGUCCGUGAGCCCGGCGGUUACCUCGGAUGAAGGCUUUCUGAGAACUGGGAGCAGCCACCCGUCGGCUUCGAGGAGGCUGCUCCUCUGACUUGGAAGAAGAUGCCCUGGAGGAAGAGGGUCUGACAUGGUUCUGAGCCGAGAACCGCCCGCAGGAGAUGGGGCCUGAGCGACAGUGACAGAUCCUGGUAUUGAGCACUUACUGUAUGCCUGGCCCUAAGUUACCGCUUCUCUGCUGCUCACGGCGACCUUGACACCCUGUAAAGCAGGGGCUGUGCUGGCUCCUUCGAAGGAAGGCCGCUGGAGCCAGGGAGGUGCAGCCACCGCCCCAGGCUAGUAGGAGCCGGCACUGCCCCACAGCUGCCUGGCUGCAAAGCCAGUGGUUGAGACCCGCUGUCUGGCCUCCGUGGGGAGAGCUGCGUUCAGGUGGGGGCCCAGCCGGCUCCACAUUUCUGCUGCCACAUGUGUGGGUGGCGGGGCAGGUUUGAGGCAGGGCCAUCAGUAGAGACUGGCUCGGUGGGGGAAGGGACAAGUUCCUGCAAGUUGGGAGCCAGAGGAGCCUCAGCCUGUCCUGCAGGUUCCUCAGGGCUUCGCACAAAAGCCAAACAGCAGCAGCGGGGGUGGGGGCUGGUCCCAGGUCAGGCUCCUGGGGGCGGGGCAGGGCGCUGGGCCAGACCUCACACCCAUCCACCCACACACCCACCCACCCUGGAGGCCAUCGUCUGUCAGAUCGAGCACCCCCAGGGGCCCACCCUUUCUGUAACAGCCACAGGGGCUCAGCCUCCUCCUGGAAGGGGACCCCCCCUUCCUUCUUGCUGGGCAGAGUUGGGGGUCCCUGGGAGAUUGGGGGGGCAGAAGUGGGAAGGAGGCCCUGGAGGGAAAGCUGAGGGGACCCAGCUCCCUGGUACGUGUGCCGCCCUCUCCUUUCUGCUGAACNNNNNNNNNNNNNNNNNNNNNNNNNNNNNNNNNNNNAGACCCUGGGCCCCCGGCCCCUGCUACCCUCUCCCUGCUGUGGAGGGGCCAUGGCCUCCACUGGGGCUGCUGGGUACUCUUCUCUUCCUCCCUCCUGUGCCCAGGGUGACAGCCCCCAGCCCCGGGCUCCUCCCUCCCUCCUGUGCCCUCUCCCUGGCCACCUUGUCUCCUUACCGGUGGCAGCUUCCCAGGAGGUGCCGCCUGACCAUGGGACGUCUCUGGUUCUCUCCACUGAUUCUAAGCGCCAGGCCAGGCCUUGCACCCGCUGCUGUGCCCAGAAUGCAGGGAAUGUGCAAGCAUAACCAGGUUGUGCCAGGAACGCCAAGUUACCCGUCUUCCCAGCCCGGGUCCCCCUGUCCCCCAUGAGCUGCUGACCCAUUGCCCACCUAGGCUGAGGCUGGGCAGGAGGAGCAAUGAAGGAUUUCCGUGCAGAUCCAUGUACUGAAAGGGAGCUGGGCUUAGAGGGGAAGCAGCGUCCGAAACAGGCUGUGAGGACAGAGGCGUGUGCAAGGGGGUGGGGUGGGGGGCAGACAGGCUCCCCACCCCCGCCAUCACUGGCUGGUCUCGGGCACCGAGCUUCACCUCCCGAGUGACCCCACCUCUAAGUGGAGAGGAUGCAGCGUCACUCCUGUCCCCUGGUGCUGAGCUGGACGCUCUUUCCAGACAGAAGCCCCCACUCAGAGUCCGGGGCUGUUUGUGGACUAAAUCCUGCAGGCAGGCAGUGUGAUUCAUCGGUUCGAUCAAGGAAGGAACAGUGGCAAAACUGAGUGUACGGUCCCCUUCUGAGCGGUGGUUUACACCAACGGCAAACGUGAGGUGCAUCAUGGAACAACAACACUUUCCACUGCUCAAAGAUGCUUUGAACUGUGACGUUAGGAGCCCUGAUCAGAUACAGAGACCUUUCAUCCUACCUGCAGAGGAAGAUACAGAUGCCCAAGGGUCGAAUCAGAGCUGUAGCCCCCGGCGUACGCCAGAGCCACAGCUCACGGCAACGCCGGAUCCUCAACCCACUGAGUGAGGCCAGGGAUCGAACCCGCGACCUCAUGGUUCCCAGUCGGAUUCGUCAACCACUGCGCCACGACGGGAACUCCAAUUGCCUUGGAUUUUUAAUCACAAAUCCCACUCAUAAGACCAAAAGAAAAGGGAGUGUGAAACAGACGCAUCUUCAAGGGCAGGUGAAGGGUCUGGGCUGGUCCCGGUAAGCAGGCGCCCCACCCGCCCCGUGGCCCGUGCUUACGAGGCAGUUGCUCCCUGGGCUGGUCUCCCCCGGGACCCACUCCUCCUCCCGACACUGGUUGUCAGUUUCAUUGGGAAAUGGAUCGCUCAUUAUGCAUUGAGGUCUCUGCGCUCUUCCAGCUCUGAGAUGAGGUNNNNNNNNNNNNNNNNNNNNNNNNNNNNNNNNNNNNNNNNNNNNNNNNNNNNNNNNNNNNNNNNNNNNNNNNNNNNNNNNNNNNNNNNNNNNNNNNNNNNNNNNNNNNNNNNNNNNNNNNNNNNNNNNNNNNNNAGAGCAGUUUGUUCCUUCCACGCGGGCAGAGGUCGGGGGUGGUCGGAGAAUGAAUAGGGAUGGAGGGGGGUGUUGCUUGAGAAAGUCACCGUGGGGACUCCGAGGCAAUGCCCUUCACAGCCCUGGGUCUCACUGUGAAGGACUCAGGGACGGUCCCCAAGGCCUAUGCUCUCGGGCUAAAGUCUGCUACUCAGAGCCGUGUGCAGAGAUGAGACUGACGACCGUGUGGCCGGGAGUUUCCCAGCCAGGCUUCUUUCUGUGCUGAGGGCUGACCUAGGAAAGCCACCAGCCAGGCCUCGUUCGAGGUUUCGGCCUUUCCACGCCCUCCCACUGCCGGCCCUUCGCGGGCUGCCUCUCGGGCCCAGGGCUCUCUGGUCUCACCAAAGCUCUCAGGCGGGACGGGGGGUCUCUCUGGAGAACCCUGGACUCGGCGGCAGGAUGGCAUCAGAGGGGCCCAGGCAAGAGGAGGGGACAGGAAGCCUUUCCCUCGCCUCUGAAAUCACACUUCAAACGUUUGGUUAAUAAACAGGUCUCAGCGGCCUGUGCAUCAGGUCCCCAAUUUCUUGGGGUCAAGGCAGGCAGCCAUGUCCCCAUCUGACCUGCUGGCUACCCUGGACUGGACAGUGAUGAUGCCCACCGUGCAUCCUGGCAGGACCCCACUCAAGGCGGCCACCAUCUGCCCCCCACUGCAGGACAAGAGCACCCAGCCCUCCCGUCCCUCCCAGCCUGGCCGUGUCAGAUGAGGGAGGGGAGGGUCCCCUCGGGUCCCCUCCUCUUCCCGUCUCUGAAAUUGGGGAUGAGCGCUGUUGCCCCACUUGGCCCUGGUCUCUGGGAGAGUCACAGGCCAAAGCCCCCAGGGCACCGUGUCUACUGUCGGGCGGUUGAGGCCAGCCCUGGCUGGCUCCCGGGGCUCUCCAGGGCGGGCCCGCCACUCCGGUUCCUGCAUUUCUUGUCUGUGGCUGGUGUGUCCCUCCCUGGGAGGAGGCUUUUGCCCCAGGACGUCGGGGGGUGGUGGGUGGGGAGUCUUCCUCCUCCCUUCCCUCGGAUCUGCAGAAAAGGAGGGGAGCCCAUCUGCAGCAGGACUGUCGCUGGAGCUCUGUCCUCAGCCAGACGCAGCCCCGGUUCCGCGCUGGUCCCAGCUCUGACGUGCGCCCUCGGGAGGCUUGGUUGGCAGCGAGCUCAGAAGCUCCGUGGCAGGUGCAGGCGACAUGGCCGAGCAGCUGUCCAAAGAGCAGGUGGCCAAGUUCAAGGAGGCCUUCGACAGAAUCGACAAGAACAAGGACGGCACCAUCAACGUGCAGGAGCUGGGCGCCGUGAUGCGGUCCCUGGGCCAUAACCCGUCAGAGGCCGAGCUCAAGGAGCUCAUCGCCAGAGUGGACAAGGACGGGGACGGCAGCAUCAGCUUCGAGGAGUUCCUGGCCGCCAUGGUCACGGUGAUGCAGGCCCACGGCAGCCAGGGCGGCCUGCGGGAGACCUUCCGCGCCUUCGACCUGGACGGCGACGGCCACAUCAGCGUGGACGAGCUCAGACAGACCAUGGCCAAGCUGGGGGAGACGCUGUCCCCGGAGGAGCUGGACAUGAUGAUCCGCGAGGCCGACGUGGACCAGGACGGGCGGGUCAACUACGAGGAGUUCCUGCGUGUCCUCGCCCAGAAGUGAGGCCCCCUCUGCCCCUCGUCGGCCC
ensembl:lncRNA